GGAAGAGGAGGUGAAGGAGGAGGGAGCGACAGGGAGGUUGGUGAAUGCGUGGAAAUGCUGGGAGAUUGGGGUGCUCAGAGAGAGCAUGGAAGCUCCACAUCCUCCCCACAUACCUUGUCCUUUGUUUCUCUCCAUCUGGCUGUUCAUCUACCACGAGUCCCAGCGCUACAGCCUUGCCCUAUUCCCCAGAGAAGGGGGGCACAGUUCUGGAGGCACUAGCCUGCUGUGUUUUCCCCUUUGCCUGGCAAAGAAUUAAAGCGAUCUUUCUUUUUCUUCCAUAAACUCUGUCUCUGUAUUUCUGUUCGGCACUGGUGCAGAGAGCCAAGGUGGUUUUUUUGGCAACAAAAUUUGGGGGCUCAUCCAGGAUAUGCUCGCGGGCAGGCAGCCCCGCAGGGCCCCUUGGCCUGAUUGGAUGCUCGGGGAUCUCUCUCCAUGCCAGCCUGCCAGCCUCCUUCAGGAGAGCAGACGGCCGGGGGUUUCUCUGAGGCCAGAUCGCCAGGGACUCCCUGCUGCAGGGCCGUGUCCCACCUCACCCGAUCCGCCGGCAAGGCUGCAGAUCUCCAAAGCUGUGGCGGAGAACAGGGGACGUUGCCCUAGCAGCUGCAGAGGCUUUUUUUUUUUUUUUUUUGGCCUUAAGGACACCUUCUCUUCCCUUCCCCGCUACCGCCAGCCCGGACUUCUACUCCGAGAAGACUUUGAUCCUCUCGGAGGAUCAGGAAGAUUCUCGCAAUUUUGUUAUGUCGCGACACACCCGCCAGCACUUUGAAUCCUGACCCUGAGAGAACACAAAUAUGCCUAGGAGAAAGCUUGAAGUGAAUUCUUAUCAUGUCCUUGAGAUACAAACACAGCCCAGUUUGCCUGAGACUUCAGCUUUGGGUUAAUUAGUAGAACUUCAAGCGAGGGGAAAGAAAGGGGCAGAGACAUUUUAAGCCCCAAGUGGAAAACUAAGAGAUCUGUGUUUGUCUUGAUACAUGUGUAUAUCUCAGUAUGUGUCUUUGUCUUUGGAUAAUACUGCUGACGUUAAUUUGUAAAUGAGCUCGAUUUCAUUGACUUAAAAGAAAAGUAAGUGCUUACAAAUCAAACAGUUCUAAAUACAAGAGAAAUUAAGCUAACCGAAUUCUAGAUUCUCGUGAACUGGGAAAUAUUCAGUAUUUAAUUAAUACCUGGUGUUAAUGUUUCUUGAUCCAAUUAAUAUAGACAUGUCUUUAGAGUCAUCAAGUAUAAUAGUUUUAUAGUGCCUAGGUUUAAUAUGAACUAAAUAAGAUCCUAUUAUAUCUGUUGCAAAUUUGUCAGCAAUGAAAGUAACUUGAUGUGAAGAAAUUUUUAAGACAAGAAAACACAAAUGAGGUAAGAGCUCUGGGUAAACUUUUUAGGAAUAAGUAUGUUUUAGGAAUGUCAACUUAAGAAUAAUCCUUCCAGAUGCUCGACAACUUGAAAAUUUAGAAUUGUGCUAAAUUAAGUUAAAUGAUGGAAGUUUAUUGAAUAACUAGGCCAUUUCCAAAUAAAAUAAGAUACUAAAACAUCCCAAGGAGAGAUAUUAAACUAAUUAGGUUCAUUGGGUAUGUUAAAUUACACGGGAAGUAUUGUCAAAUGAGUAAUAAAUCUUCUUAGGUUAUAUUGUACGGUAAAUGUUACUAAUAUAGAUACUCUAGAAAUUAUAUGGGAUUCCUAAAGUUCUGAUAUGUCCUGGUAAAAUGUUAUCAGUCAUAAAUCCAGUUAUUAUCUUAAGGUGUUGUAUGUCACAGCAGUAGCCAAGUUACUUUGUCAAAUUACAUUACAUUGUAAUCAGAUUUUCAAUGUGUCUUCUUAAGUCUUUUAUCAUUAUAGACAGUUAUGGUUUUAUUCUGAUGCCUUUGCAAAAACACUUCCUCUUCAAGAAGAUUUAUAGAAAGGACUUUUGAUAAAUACAAGUUUCUGACUUGUACUGAACUGGGUAAGAAAUUGGAGAAUUCUAGAAAAAACCUGAUGGCUUCAUAAAAAGUUAACAAAAGAACAAAAUGAACCGGUGAAUAUGGUUAUAAUUUUAUGGUUUCUAUCUGAAAAAUUACUGGUUUGAAUCUAUGUUUUCCAGGUGUGAGGAAAACCUUCCCAUCAAGCAAAUUAUGGCUUACAGUAAUUUGGUAAAUUAUACUUUUAUAAGCAGAAUUGAAACAUUUAUCUUUUCUCUCUGCCUGCUCCCUCCAGAGAUUGGAAACUCUUAGGUUCCCAACAGCUUUAUCAGAUAAAUUAGGAAGGCUACAUCACUAACAGGUACAGAAAUCUCAAGUUAUUUUGGGGACCUUGAAAAGGAAGGAAUUCACCUAGAUCUGGUAAGCGAAAUCUGUGACAGGCCCUUGGUGUGACUUUCCUGGUCCUGAGAGGUCUUUUAAAAGUUCAGUCUGAGACUCCUUAUAAAAAUUUCAGUGAGCAAAAAGACUGUAUGAUCGAUUACAAUUAUAUAAACCAUCAGGCCAUGUUAAUUGAGAGUAGACUGAAAUUUGAUUCUCUCUCUCUGUUAAGAGAAAAAAAUGUUCUUGGAAUGCUGCUUUUAAUAACAGACUAUGUAAAUUUCUUUGCCUUUAAGUGAUUUGUAUUUGCUUUUAAAAUCUUUCGUUACUUUGGUAAAGUAAAUAAGUAUUAUUUCACAAUGAUCUAUGAAGAUUUUGGCACAUGUAGAUAAAGUUCAUCCUGCUUCUACAAAAAUUAACCCCCCAUUGUCAGACUUUUGCUAUCCUGAUGUCUUUGUAACAUGGCGAUGGUCUACUCCUAAGUCAGAGAAUUUAAAAUGAGUUAAAAAUUGCUGUAAAUCAGAGUCAGGGCUAUGGAAAAUCCAAGACGGCUGCUUGGCUUUUUCCAGCUCCAUGACAAACCUCAUUUUUAUGUGAUGGGUUAAAGCCUUCCCUGGCUGCAGGGUUAAUGCCCUCACAAUGGAAACAAAAAAAUUAUGCUUCAAUGAAGAUUAAAUUCUAGUUUUGUUAAUUAAGGUCUGUGUUUACCAAGACUCACUUUCUGAUAGUUCCUUGCUGUUAUGUUAUACUGCUAAGAAGUGUGAUAGAAUUGUUAAAGGACACUCUAAGUUUGUUUCUAAAGCUUAUCUCAGUAAUCUAUCUUUGGAUGAAGAUCAGAUGCCCCAGACCUAUAACCAGGGGAUUAUGCAUAUUGGAAAA